UGUGGAUUUGGAUACUUCUGUUUUUCAUCCUUUUAAAUUGUGUUCUGGAAUUUUAGUGUUUCGUGUGUGCCUUCAUCAGUUCCGCUCUCUCUGCCUGUCGGAUUUAUUUUUGUCGCGUGCCGCGGCCGUAGUUUCUCUCCUAAUUUAGCUGUCCAUCGUAGUGUCAACAAGUCCUACAGUUCCUUAUCAUAUGGUAUCAAAAUUCUGAAUAUUUGCCGCGUAUAAUUUCAGUCUAAUCCUCGUAUUUUCUUUCAUCUGUUGUACUGCCAAUUUACUCAUCUCGUUUGCGGAUUAACCCAGAGCACCACCCAUCUGCCAUCCCUGUAACCAAGGAAGUCUGCGGGCAAGUCCUGUCCGUACAGCCACGUUUUGAUGUAAACGCAAGUGCCUCGAUGCCGUCAAGCCCGGCAGUUCGUCAUCAUCCGUCAUCCUUUCGGAAUGGGUUCAGAUGCUGAGCUCUGAAAGCUGAAACAAUGCAAUUGCGAGGAAAAUGGCGAUUCAAGGGAGCCGGAAUUCCUCGCGAUGAGCUCCGAAACGGAAGGAAUGUAGAGCAUUCCCGGCGUAAAGCAGCUCUCGAUUGACGGCAAUUUUGGAAACGUGAGCCAAGUGAGUAAUCUUCAUGUAGUCAUCAUUUUUUUAGUGCUGAAACAGCGGUGACGCGCUCGAGUAUUUACGAGAGUUUAUUUUACUGCUAAUCGAAUAAAUUGAGGCAUUUUUCCGUAAAAGGGCGUAUAAGAAGCUCGCAAUGAUCCUAAAAUUGUGCAAUUUUUUAUGGCUUUUGCGGCGAAAUUC
rnacentral:lncRNA from 1 species